rnacentral:misc_RNA from 1 species
CAUUCAUGCGUACGGUCGUACGAGUGAAUGGGGAGCCGCGAGCAGAUACAGUCGGCUGGCGAUCGGCCGCGCGCACGCCGCGCAGCGCAGCCGCCUGCGCCCCGCGAGUGACUCCGAGCCAUUGCCGGCCAAGCUGCCAGUCGCGCAGCCACACACCAGCUCACCAGUCACCAGUAACAAUUGGAAGUACACGGUACAGCUAUCAACGUUAUCGGCGUCACAGAACAAGACUUCGUUGAUAUCUCGCUCGAACAAAGCGCGUGCCAAAUGCCAGCAACAAAAAACCACUCCGGAACACUGUUUCAUUGAUAAGAUAAGGUAUCCACAAAGAGAUAACAGAAACUUAUCCGUGUUUUAAAAGAAUUACG